ACGAGGCUACCCGUACCUACAAGGAGGCAGAGCGCAGUGGUAUCUCAGGCAAAGGCUGGCACGUCCCACAACAACCAUCACUGGCUACAGGUUCCCACCCGGAUGUGGUCAGAGGGCAGAGGUUUCUCCAAGAAUGCCAGUCUUUCUGGGUUCAGCAGUCAUGGUACACCGGUGAAAUUUAGCCAGUUCUUUAAGAUUUCAGCAACCACCGGUCUUCAGAGGCCUAUGCAAUUUGUUCCUUUUCCGUAUCCUCUUAAUUUUCAAAUAUGUGAUCGCUGCUGCCGCCCCUCGCCUCUUGUGCAGUCUUGAAUUGUGAACUUCCAAGUCAAGCUUGAAAUGAGAGAGGGCAAAGUUCUCUUAGCCAGAAAUCCCAAGCCCUGAAGAACACAGAUACUUCAGUGGGGUUUUCUGCAGGUUUCUGUGUGUUAGAAUGUGCUGUCAUAAAUCCAUGAGCACGGCGAGUUCACAGGGCCCAGGUGUCACCCCAGAGAAUAAACAACUCCAGAGCCCA
rnacentral:lncRNA from 1 species